rnacentral:rRNA from 1 species
CACGUAGGGACCAAGCGUUGUCCGGAUUUAUUGGGCGUAAAGAGCUCGUAGGCGGUUCGGUAAGUCGGGUGUGAAAACUCUGGGCUCAACUCAGAGAUGCCACCCGAUACUGCCGUGACUUGAGUCCGGUAGGGGAGCACGGAAUUCCUGGUGUAGCGGUGAAAUGCGUAGAUAUCGGGAGGAACACCAGAGGCGAAGGCGGCGCACUGGACAGCAACUGACACUCAACUGCGAAAGCGUGGGGAGCAAACAGG